rnacentral:rRNA from 1 species
CACGUAGGAGGCGAGCGUUGUCCGGAAUCAUUGGGCGUAAAGAGCGCGCAGGCGGCUUGGCAAGUCGGGUGUGAAAUCCCGGGGCUCAACCCCGUGACUGCAUCCGAUACUGUCAGGCUAGAGGUAGGUAGGGGAGAUCGGAAUUCCUGGUGUAGCGGUGAAAUGCUUAGAUAUCAGGAGGAACACCAGUGGCGAAGGCGGUGUUCUGGGCCAGUACUGACGCUGGAGGCGCGAAAGCGUGGGGAGCAAACAGG